rnacentral:rRNA from 1 species
UACGAGAGGCCCAAACCGUUAUUCGGAAUUACUGGGCUUAAAGAGUUCGUAGGCGGCGCGGAAAGUAGGGUGUGAAAGCCCACGGCUCAACCGUGGAGGGUCAUUGGAAACUGGGGGACUUGAGUGCAGGAGAGAAGAGUGGAAUUCCACGUGUAGCGGUGAAAUGCGUAGAGAUGUGGAGGAACACCAGUGGCGAAGGCGACUCUUUGGCCUGUAACUGACACUGAGGCGCGAAAGCGUGGGGAGCAAACAGG